ACGCGAAGAACCUUACCUGGCCUUGACAUCUGUCGAAUCCUGCAGAGAUGUGGGAGUGCCUUCGGGAACGACAAGACAGGUGCUGCAUGGCUGUCGUCAGCUCGUGUCGUGAGAUGUUGGGUUAAGUCCCGCAACGAGCGCAACCCUUGUCCUUAGUUGCCAUCAUUCAGUUGGGAACUCUAAGGAGACCGCCGGUGACAAACCGGAGGAAGGUGGGGAUGACGUCAAGUCAUCAUGGCCUUUAUGGCCAGGGCUACACACGUGCUACAAUGGCAGGUACAGAGGGAAGCCAACUCGCGAGAGGGAGCCAAUCCCAGAAAACCUGUCGUAGUCCGGAUCGGAGUCUGCAACUCGACUCUGUGAAGUCGGAAUCGCUAGUAAUCGCAGAUCAGCAUUGCUGCGGUGAAUACGUUCCCGGGUCUUGUACACACCG
rnacentral:rRNA from 1 species